rnacentral:rRNA from 1 species
GUGGGGAAUAUUGGACAAUGGGGGGAACCCUGAUCCAGCCAUGCCGCGUGUGUGAAGAAGGCCUUUUGGUUGUAAAGCACUUUAAGCGAGGAGGAGGCUACCGAGAUUAAUACUCUUGGAUAGUGGACGUUACUCGCAGAAUAAGCACCGGCUAACUCUGUGCCAGCAGCCGCGGUAAUACAGAGGGUGCAAGCGUUAAUCGGAUUUACUGGGCGUAAAGCGCGAGUAGGUGGCCAAUUAAGUCAAAUGUGAAAUCCCCGAGCUUAACUUGGGAAUUGCAUUCGAUACUGGUUGGCUAGAGUAUGGGAGAGGAUGGUAGAAUUCCAGGUGUAGCGGUGAAAUGCGUAGAGAUCUGGAGGAAUACCGAUGGCGAAGGCAGCCAUCUGGCCUAAUACUGACACUGAGGUGCGAAAGCAUGGGGAGCAAACAGGAUUAGAUACCCCUGUAGUCC